rnacentral:RNase_P_RNA from 1 species
UGAGAAAGAAUGUUGGUGGAGCCACAAGCUCUGUGCCUCACAUCACUCCCAUAGCUGACCUUCAGGAGCAUCUGAGACUAGGGCCACCAACAGUGACUCUAACAGGACACUCCCUAAGCCCCUAAGAGGUGAAUCCCCAGAAAACAGCUCUUCCUGUAAGGGUACACUGGGCAGGAGAUGCUGACCUCUGGGGACCAGAGAGAGAGCUUGGAACAGACUCCAGGCAAGACAACUGUACUCAGUGGCUGAGGUAAAGUACCUCACAGGCCUCCUUACCCAAUUCUCACUGCUCUUGCCUCC